rnacentral:rRNA from 1 species
GGGUUGUGUGUGUUCAAGCCCGUAGGCUGAGUUGUUAGGACCCGAUAGGGACAAACGACGACUCUUAAGGCCGAGAGGUGAUGAGGUCUGGCCCUAGGCCAGGACACUGGGUAAUCCUACGCUUCCUAGAAAAGCCGCGUACUGAGCUUCUUUGGUGAUCGUACUGUAAACCGACUCAGGUGGGCGGGGUGAGAAUCCCAAGGCGCGUGAGAGAACCCUGGUUAAGGAACUCUGCAAAUUGACACCGUAACUUCGGGAGAAGGUGUGCCUCUGGUGGUUAGUAGAUUUACUCUACGAAGCUGUUGGAGGUCGCAGUGAAAUGGCGGUUGUGACUGUUUACUAAAAACACAGGACUCUGCGAAGUCGUAAGACGACGUAUAGGGUCUGAUGCCUGCCCGGUGCUGGAAGGUUAAGGGAAUAUGUCAGGGGCAACCCGAAGCAUUGAGCCGAAGCCCCAGUAAACGGCGGCCGUAACUAUAACGGUCCUAAGGUAGCGAAAUUCCUUGUCGGGUAAGUUCCGACCUGCACGAAUGGCAUAACAACAUCCGCACUGUCUCGACCAGGGACUCAGCGAAAUUGCAUUGGGGGUGAAGAUGCCCUCUACCCGCGGAAAGACGGAAAGACCCCAUGAACCUUCACUGCAACUUGGCAGUGAAAUUCGGGUUGAUCUGCGUAGGAUAGGUGGGAGGCUUUGAAGUCGGGUUUCCGGAUUCGACUGAGCCAACGUUGAAAUACCACCCUGAUUAAUCUGGAUUUCUAACCUACUUCCGUAAUCCGGGAGAGGGACACUGCCUGGUGGGCAGUUUGACUGGGGCGGUCGCCUCCUAAAUUGUAACGGAGGCGUGCAAGGUUCCCUCAGGCUGAUUGGAAACCAGCCGAAGAGUGCAAACGCAUAAGGGAGCUUUACUGUGAGACUGACAAGUCGAGCAGUUGCGAAAGCAGGUGUUAGUGAUCCGGUGGUACCAAGUGGAAGGGCCAUCGCUCAUCGGAUAAAAGGUACUCUGGGGAUAACAGGCUGAUCGCGCCUGAGAGUUCACAUCGGCGGCGCGGUUUGGCACCUCGAUGUCGGCUCAUCGCAUCCUGGGGCUGGAGCAGGUCCCAAGGGUUUGGCUGUUCGCCAAUUAAAGCGGUACGCGAGCUGGGUUUAAAACGUCGUGAGACAGUUUGGUCCCUAUCUUCCGUGGGCGCAGGAUACUUGAGAGGAGCUACCCAUAGUACGAGAGGACCUGGGUGGACGAACCUCUGGUGCUCCGGUUGUCACGCCAGUGGCAUAGCCGGGUAGCUAUGUUCGGAACAGAUAACCGCUGAAAGCAUAUAAGCGGGAAGCUGGCCUCAAGACUAGGUAUCCCUGUCGCAAGACACUAAAGGACCCACGUAGACCACGUGGUUGAUAGGCUAGGUGUGGAAGCGUAGCAUACGCGGAGCUAACUGGUACUAAUAGUCCGUGCGGCUUGACCA